rnacentral:rRNA from 1 species
CGUGUAGGCGGUUUGUUAAGUCUGAUGUGAAAGCCCUGGGCUCAACCCAGGAAGUGCAUUGGAUACUGGCAGACUUGAAUACGGGAGAGGGUAGUGGAAUUCCUGGUGUAGGAGUGAAAUCCGUAGAUAUCAGGAGGAACACCGGUGGCGAAGGCGGCUGCCUGGACCGAUAUUGACGCUGAGACGCGAAAGCGUGGGUAGCAAACAGGAUUAGAUACCCUGGUAGUCCACGCCGUAAACGAUGAGAACUAGGUGUUGCGGGUAUUGACCCCUGCAGUGCCGCAGCUAACGCAUUAAGUUCUCCGCCUGGGAAGUACGGUCGCAAGACUAAA